GGUGAACGCUGGCGGCGUGCCUAAUACAUGCAAGUCGAGCGGACAGACGAUAAGCUUUUUCCUUUGACGUUAGCGGCGGACGGGCGGGUGAGAAGUGCAUCACCUUCUUCUUUUUCUUGGAUAAUAUCGGGGAAACAGUGAUAAUAAUACCGCAUAUAUUGUACCGGUUGGAUCAAUAGUGCAUGACGGUUUUCCCGUCUCUUUUAGCCGAUUCCGCGCCGCAUUAGCUAGUUGGUAAGGUAACGGCUCACCAAGGCUACGAUGCGUAGCUGACCUGAGAGGGUGAUCGGCCACACUGGAACUGAGACACGGUCCAGACUCCUACGGGAGGCAGCAGUAGGGAAUCUUCCACAAUGGGCGAAAGCCUGACGGAGCAACGCCGCGUGAGUGAUGAAGGUCUUCGGGUCGUAAAACUCUGUUAUUAGGGAAGAACAAAUGUGUAAGUAACUAUGCACGUCUUGACGGUACCUAAUCAGAAAGCCACGGCUAACUACGUG
rnacentral:rRNA from 1 species